CAAGCGAUUCUUGGCCAGAGACAUAACCUUUCAGAACGCCACCAGCGCUUGAAACCGCCAGGCCGUCGCGCACUGCAUGAGUGCCUAUCUCUCUGCCUUCUCCCAACGCAACAUCCUCGCCCACCAGCACACCCUCUAUGUCCAUACCAACCGCCAAUUUUUUGUCAAGUGCUUCAUUGCCGGUACGGUCGACUUUAUCUUUGGCAAUGCGGCCGCCAUCUUUCAGGAUUGCGACAUGCACGCUCACCAGCCAAACUGUGGCCAGAAGAACAUGGUUACCACCCAAGGCCGAACUGACCCGAACCAAAACACGCGAAUUUGAUCCAAAUAUGCAGUUCUGCUGCAACCAGUGAUCUCCAACCGGUGAAGGGCAGUUUUCCAACGUACCUCUGCUGCUCAAGGACGGUGAUCAUGCAGUUGUCGAUCUCGGACAUGAUCAACCCGGUGGGUUGGCAUGAGUGUAGCAGGACAUGCGCCCUCGACACAUUGUACUGCAGAGAGUACCGGAACACCGGCGCUGUGCCGGAACCUUGAAGAGAGUGAAAUGGAAGGGCUUUAAGGUGAUAACGUCGGCGACAGAGGCGCAAGGGUUCACCACCGCGAUUAACAUCACCAGAGGCAGUUGACUGAGCUCCAUCGGGGUUUUAUUUUCACUCAGCCCGUAAGCAAGAUUAAAUCGGUUCGUACCAUGACCAUUGAUAUUUCGAUUACGCAUUAGUUUUCUGCCCCGUGCCUGUCAUUACUUGAGAUCUUUUCAGAGAAAUGAAUGGGCAUUGGACUGACCGUGACAACCACCGGCGGGAUAUUACGAGAAGAGAUGACUUGGGCGUUUGGUGUUCUUGAGAGGCCAAAACAAUUUAACUAUGCGCUAUGAACUAAAAAAUUCAGUGUACUAUGCAGUGCAACUUUAUAGAGGGAUCAAAGAAGUGCCUCGGUAACAUUAGGCCAAACAAAGGUCCGAGAUUAAAAUUGUAGGGCAGGUUUCACACGCAAAAUGCGACGCAAUCAAUAGGCGGGCCUAAAGUGAGCUGGGCGCGGUCGUGGUAUCGGAUCUUAAAGUCCUUGCUCAAGCCCCGCCAAUGAUACGAAAAUACUUGCCCAAUCCCACAAAAAUCGCGCUUCGUGUCAAGACGGACCCAUAUUUUGUUCCUAAUGAGCGGGAUGGAGCUCUCGCUCACGCAUCAGGAGCGAGCGAGGACUAAUCAAAGCUUCUCAAAGAGAAAGAGAAACCGUUCGCC